UACAACCUUAUUUGAACUAAACGAACUUAAUGCUUCUUGCUCAUGGUCCCUUGUGUACUGAGUCAUGGUUAUACACACCUGAGUUGUCACAUCCUUUAUGCCAAUCUUAUUCUGACAAACUCUAGUGGUAGACCACUCCCAAAACCUUUCCCUCCUUUUAAGCUUUCAUUGUUUGAUGAGUGAGGCCUUCUUCGGAAAGUCUUACAUGUGCAUAAUGUUGAGAGUAUCGGGAACGUUAAUGUUUGAUCUUCAUUCUUGCUAGAUUGGACACUCUAUUGUCUAGCUAUAGGUGGGGGGUGAGAGUUGUGAUUAUGAUUUGGGAGCAAUGAAAAAAGAAAAGAAAUAACUCUUUGUGUUUAAGUGAAUUGUCUUACUGGGAUAAGUAGAAAAACUUCUAUCUCAAGUUAUGAAAAGUCUUGGCCCCCAUUUAAAAAAAAAAAAAAUAUAUAUAUGAAAAGAAAAGAAAAAGAAAGAAAAAGGGGGCUAGCAAAGUUGUUAGGAGCUAAGUAAUGUUUUGAGGUUGUGAAAAAUCUCUUGUAGAUUUCAAAGAGAAGGAGUUAAUGUUCUUAGGAUCUUUUGGUGAGAGAUGUGAGUUGGGUUUGACAUUUGAGAAUGAUUGUGUAAUUGUAUGUUUGGGAAAAUGGUAGAACAAUGGAGAUUGAGCAUUGUAUGCAUGAGUUGAUCUCUUUCUUAGAUUUAUUAUGUGCAAUGUCAAGGCUACUUGUUUCGAGAGUAAACCACCUUAAAGAUUUUAUGUUUCGAACCUCUUGAAUCACUUGAAUAAAAGCCUUCCCUCACCCAACCAAAUGACUUGGACCAACUUACCAUUUGCA
rnacentral:lncRNA from 1 species